rnacentral:misc_RNA from 1 species
UUUCCGUAGGAGAACCUGCGGAAGGAUCAUUCAUAAUAAAGUGUUUUAUGGCACUUUUUAAAAAUCCAUAUCCGCCUUGUGUGCAAUGUUAGAUCUCGUCAAUCUUGGCGAGAUUUUUAUACAUCAGCUCAUUCUUUAACUAAUUUGUCUGAAAAAUAUUAUGAAUACUUAAUUCAAAAUACAACUUUCAACAACGGAUCUCUUGGCUCUC